UACGUAGGGGGCUAGCGUUAUCCGGAUUUACUGGGCGUAAAGGGUGCGUAGGCGGUCUUUCAAGUCAGGAGUGAAAGGCUACGGCUCAACCGUAGUAAGCUCUUGAAACUGUAAGACUUGAGUGCAGGAGAGGAGAGUGGAAUUCCUAGUGUAGCGGUGAAAUGCGUAGAUAUUAGGAGGAACACCAGUGGCGAAGGCGGCUUUCUGGACAGUAACUGACGCUGAGGCGCGAAAGCGUGGGGAGCAAACAGGAUUAGAUACCCGUGUAGUCCCU
rnacentral:rRNA from 1 species